GACGAACGCUGGCGGCGUGCCUAACACAUGCAAGUCGAGCGAACAGAUGAGAAGCUUGCUUCUCUGAUGUUAGCGGCGGACGGGUGAGUAACACGUGGGUAACCUACCUAUAAGACUGGGAUAACUCCGGGAAACCGGGGCUAAUACCGGAUAAUAUUUUGAACCGCAUGGUUCAAUAGUGAAAGACGGUUUCGGCUGUCACUUAUAGAUGGACCCGCGCCGGAUUAGCUAGUUGGUAAGGUAACGGCUUACCAAGGCGACGAUACGUAGCCGACCUGAGAGGGUGAGCGGCCACACUGGAACUGAGACACGGUCCAGACUCCUACGGGAGGCAGCAGUAGGGAAUCUUCCGCAAUGGGCGAAAGCCUGACGGAGCAACGCCGCGUGAGUGAUGAAGGUCUUCGGAUCGUAAAACUCUGUUGUUAGGGAAGAACAAAUUUGUUAGUAACUGAACAAGUCUUGACGGUACCUAACCAGAAAGCCACGGCUAACUACGUGCCAGCAGCCGCGGUAA
rnacentral:rRNA from 1 species